rnacentral:rRNA from 1 species
ACGAACGCUGGCGGCGUGCCUAAUACCUGCAAGUAGAACGCACAGUUUAUACCGUAGCUUGCUACACCAUAGACUGUGAGUUGCGAACGGGUGAGUAACGCGUAGGUAACCUGCCUGGUAGCGGGGGAUAACUAUUGGAAACGAUAGCUAAUACCGCAUAAUAUUAAUUAUUUCAUGAUAAUUAAUUGAAAGGUGCAAUUGCACCACUACCAGAUGGACCUGCGUUGUAUUAGCUAGUAGGUGAGGUAACGGCUCACCUAGGCGACGAUACAUAGCCGACCUGAGAGGGUGAUCGGCCACACUGGGACUGAGACACGGCCCAGACUCCUACGGGAGGCAGCAGUAGGGAAUCUUCGGCAAUGGACGAAAGUCUGACCGAGCAACGCCGCGUGAGUGAAGAAGGUUUUCGGAUCGUAAAGCUCUGUUGUAAGAGAAGAACGGGUGUGAGAGUGGAAAGUUCACACUGUGACGGUAUCUUACCAGAAAGGGACGGCUAACUACGUG